rnacentral:rRNA from 1 species
AAGAAAGCGUAAUAGCUCACUGGUCGAGUCGGCCUGCGCGGAAGAUGUAACGGGGCUAAACCAUGCACCGAAGCUGCGGCAGCGACACUGUGUGUUGUUGGGUAGGGGAGCGUUCUGUAAGCCUGCGAAGGUGGCCUGUGAGGGUUGCUGGAGGUAUCAGAAGUGCGAAUGCUGACAUAAGUAACGAUAAAGCGGGUGAAAAGCCCGCUCGCCGGAAGACCAAGGGUUCCUGUCCAACGUUAAUCGGGGCAGGGUGAGUCGACCCCUAAGGCGAGGCCGAAAGGCGUAGUCGAUGGGAAACGGGUUAAUAUUCCCGUACUUGGUGUUACUGCGAAGGGGGGACGGAGAAGGCUAUGUUGGCCGGGCGACGGUUGUCCCGGUUUAAGCGUGUAGGUGUGUGUUCCAGGUAAAUCCGGUUCACUUUAACACUGAGGCGUGACGACGAGGCACUACGGUGCUGAAGCAACAAAUGCCCUGCUUCCAGGAAAAGCCUCUAAGCAUCAGGUAACAUCAAAUCGUACCCCA